rnacentral:rRNA from 1 species
UACGUAGGUGGCGAGCGUUGUCCGGAUUUAUUGGGCGUAAAGCGCGCGCAGGUGGUCCGUUAAGUCCUGUGUGAAAUCUCCCGGCUCACCCGGGAGGGGGCGCGGGAUACUGGGGGACUGGAGGCAGGCAGAGGCCGGUGGAAUUCCCGGUGUAGUGGUGAAAUGCGUAGAUAUCAGGAGGAACACCGGUGGCGAAGGCGGCCCUCUGGACGGUGACUGACGCUGAGACGCGAAAGCGUGGGGAGCAAACAGG